rnacentral:rRNA from 1 species
CGGGAAGAGCUCAAAUUUAAAAUCUGGCGGUGUAUUCCGUCCGAGUUGUAGUCUAGAGAAGCAUCAUCCGUGCUGGACCAUGUACAAGUCUCUUGGAAUAGAGCGUCAUAGAGGGUGAGAAUCCCGUCCAUGAC